GACGAACGCUGGCGGCGUGCCUAAUACAUGCAAGUUGAGCGCUGAAGGUUGGUACUUGUACCAACUGGAUGAGCAGCGCACGGGUGAGUAACGCGUGGGGAAUCUGCCUUUGAGCGGGGGACAACAUUUGGAAACGAAUGCUAAUACCGCAUAAAAACUUUAAACACAAGUUUUAAGUUUGAAAGAUGCAAUUGCAUCACUCAAAGAUGAUCCCGCGUUGUAUUAGCUAGUUGGUGAGGUAAAGGCUCACCAAGGCGAUGAUACAUAGCCGACCUGAGAGGGUGAUCGGCCACAUUGGGACUGAGACACGGCCCAAACUCCUACGGGAAGCAGCAGUAGGGAAUCUUCGGCAAUGGACGAAAGUCUGACCGAGCAACGCCGCGUGAGUGAAGAAGGUUUUCGGAUCGUAAAACUCUGUUGGUAGAGAAGAACGUUGGUGAGAGUGGAAAGCUCAUCAAGUGACGGUAACUACCCAGAAAGGGACGGCUAACUACGUG
rnacentral:rRNA from 1 species